GACGAACGCUGGCGGCGUGCUUAACACAUGCAAGUCGAACGAUGAACAGGUUUCGGCCGGGGUUUAGUAGCGAACGGGUGAGUAACACGUGGGCAAACUGCCCUGCACUCUGGGAUAAGCCCGGGAAACUGGGUCUAAUACCGGUUACGCCACUCCGUGGCAUCUUGGGGUGUGGUAAGUUCCGGCGGCGCAGGAUGAACCAGCGGCCUAUCAGCCUGUAGGUGGGGUAAUGGCCUACCAAGGGGACGACGGGUAGCCGGCCUGAGAGUGUGACCGGCCACACUGGGACUGAGACACGGCCCAGAGUGCUACGGGAGGCAGCAGUGGAGAAUAGUGCACGAUGGGCGGAGGCCGUAUGCAGCGUCGCCGCGUGAGGGAUGACGGCCGUCGGGUUGUAAACCGCGUUCAGCAGGGAAGAAGCGAAAGUGACGGUACCUGCAGAAGAAGCACCGGCUAACUACGUG
rnacentral:rRNA from 1 species